rnacentral:rRNA from 1 species
GGGGGGGGCAAGCGUUGUUCGGAAUUACUGGGCGUAAAGGGCUCGUAGGUGGCCAACUCAGUCAGACGUGAAAUCCCUCGGCUUAACCGGGGAACUGCGUCUGAUACUGGAUGGCUUGAGGUUGGGAGAGGGAUGCGGAAUUCCAGGUGUAGCGGUGAAAUGCGUAGAUAUCUGGAGGAACACCGGUGGCGAAGGCGGCAUCCUGGACCAAUUCUGACACUGAGGAGCGAAAGCCAGGGGAGCAAACGGGAUUAGAUACCCCGGUAGUCCUGGCCCUAAACGAUGAAUGCUUGGUGUGGCGGGUAUCGAUCCCUGCCGUGCCGAAGSKAACGCAUUAAGCAUUCCGCCUGGGGAGUACGGU